UACGGGGGGAGCAAGCGUUGUUCGGAUUUACUGGGCGUAAAGGGCGCGUAGGCGGUCGUGACAAGUCACUUGUGAAAUCUCCGGGCUUAACUCGGAACGGUCAAGUGAUACUGUCGGACUAGAGUACAGAAGGGGCAACUGGAAUUCUCGGUGUAGCGGUGAAAUGCGUAGAUAUCGAGAGGAACACCUGCGGCGAAGGCGGGUUGCUGGGCUGAUACUGACGCUGAGGCGCGAAAGUCAGGGGAGCGAACGGG
rnacentral:rRNA from 1 species